rnacentral:rRNA from 1 species
AUAGAUUCCCUCAGUAACGGCGAGCGAAGAGGGAUAAGCUCAAAUUUUAAAUCUGUUGGGUUCCACUUAACAGAGUUGUAUUUUGAAGAAACGUUUUCUGCGUCCAGGAUUAGCCUAAAUCCUUUGGGAUAAGGUAUCAUGGAGGGUGAGAAUCCCGUUCAUGGUUAAUCUUAAGGAAGCUCUACGAUACGUUUUCCAAGAGUCGAGUUGUUUGGGAUUGCAGCUCAAAAUGGGAGGUAAAUUUCUCCUAAGGCUAAAUAUUGGCGAGAGACCGAUAGCGAACAAGUACCGUGAGGGAAAGAUGAAAAGAACUUUGAAAAGAGAGUUAAACAGUACGUGAAAUUGUUGAAAGGGAAACGAUUGAAGUCAGUCAUACCAACGGGAAAUCAACCUUUUGAGCUCUGGUCUCGUGGGUUUUGAAGAGUUUCAAAGCCUUCGGAUUCGCGGGAUUGGGAUCUCUCGGUGUACUUUUUCGUACGGUUAGUCAACAUCGGUUUUGAAUGUCAUAAAAUGACUGGAGGAAUGUAGCUUCGAUCUCGGUAUUGAAGUGUUAUAGCCUUUGGUAGAUGUGAUGUUUGAGACCGAGGAUUGCAACGGAUACCCUUCAGGGCUAUUCGUCUGAUCUCUGAUACGUUGCCUUGAUGUUGAAAGCUUGCUUAUGAUGUUAGGGUAUUACGGUCAAAAGGUUAGAACGAAUUACAUUCGUUAAGGAUGUUGACGUAAUGACUUUAAACGACC